rnacentral:rRNA from 1 species
AACGAACGCUGGCGGCAGGCCUAACACAUGCAAGUCGAGCGCGCCCUUCGGGGUGAGCGGCGGACGGGUGAGUAACGCGUGGGAACGUGCCCUUUUCUACGGAAUAGCCUCGGGAAACUGAGAGUAAUACCGUAUACGCCCUUUGGGGGAAAGAUUUAUCGGAAAAGGAUCGGCCCGCGUUGGAUUAGGUAGUUGGUGAGGUAAUGGCCUACCAAGCCGACGAUCCAUAGCUGGUUUGAGAGGAUGAUCAGCCACACUGGGACUGAGACACGGCCCAGACUCCUACGGGAGGCAGCAGUGGGGAAUCUUAGACAAUGGGGGCAACCCUGAUCUAGCCAUGCCGCGUGAGUGAUGAAGGCCUUAGGGUUGUAAAGCUCUUUCAGCUGGGAAGAUAAUGACGGUACCAGCAGAAGAAGCCCCGGCUAACUCCGUG